rnacentral:rRNA from 1 species
UACGUAGGAGACGAGCGUUGUCCGGAAUACUGGGCGUAAAGCGCGUGUAGGCGGAUGCGCAAGUCUGCUGUGAAAGCUCCUGGCUUAACCGGGAGUGGUCGGUGGAAACUGCGCGUCUGGAGGACGGUAGAGGUAGGUAGAAUUCCCGGUGUAGUGGUGAAAUGCGUAGAGAUCGGGAGGAAUACCUGUGGCGAAGGCGGCCUACUGGGCCGGUACUGACGCUGAGGUGCGAAAGCGUGGGGAGCAAACAGGGAUUAGAAACCCUUGAUACGUCCUAGG